AAAAUAAAAAUGAAGCUGUUUAUACGGUUGCUUAUAAUAGCUCUGAUACUGGUUCUGUCCGAGGAUAAUAAAAUAAAUCGCAUUUUAUAUAUUAAGAAACGUGUCACCACCUAAUAUGUAUUUUGGUAAAUAAACGUUUUAUUUUUUUUAAUG